AAAGUGAAUAGUGAAAUCUGGCGGCUCAACCGUACAGGCUAUUAUUCGAACUCACUGACUCGAGAACAGCAGAGGUAACUGGAAUUUCUGAAGUAGGGGUAAUAUCCGUAGAUAUCAGAAGGAACACCAAUGGCGUAGGCAGGUUACUGGGCUGUUUCUGACACUGAGGCACGAAAGCGUGGGGAGCGAACCGGAUUAGAUACCCGGGUAGUCCGCGCCGUAAACGAUGGAUACUA
rnacentral:rRNA from 1 species